rnacentral:rRNA from 1 species
GAAAAACCUCCUCGCCGGAAGACCAAGGGUUCCUGUCCAACGUUAAUCGGGGCAGGGUAAGUCGACCCCUAAGGCGAGGCCGAAAGGCGUAGUCGAUGGGAAACGGGUUAAUAUUCCCGUACUUCUUACAAUUGCGAUGGGGGGACGGAGAAGGCUAGGUGGGCCUGGCGACGGUUGUCCAGGUUCAAGUGCGUAGGCUUAAGAGUUAGGUAAAUCCGGCUCUUUUUAAGGCUGAGACACGACGUCGAGCAUCUACGGAUGUGAAGUCAUUGAUGCCAUGCUUCCAGGAAAAGCCUCUAAGCUUCAGAUUGUAAGGAAUCGUACCCCAAACCGACACAGGUGGUCGGGUAGAGAAUACCAAGGCGCUUGAGAGAACUCGGGUGAAGGAACUAGGCAAAAUGGUACCGUAACUUCGGGAGAAGGUACGCUCUCGACGGUGAAGUCCCUCGCGGAUGGAGCUAUU